rnacentral:rRNA from 1 species
UAGGGAAUCUUCCACAAUGACGCAAGUCUGAUGGAGCAACGCCGCGUGAGUGAAGAAGGUUUUCGGACCGUAAAGCUCUGUUGUUGGUGAAGAAGGAUAGAGGUAGUAACUGGCCUUUAUUUGACGGUAAUCAACCAGAAAGUCACGGCUAACUACGUGCCAGCAGCCGCGGUAAUCGUAGGUGGCAAGCGUUGUCCGGAUUUAUUGGGCGUAAAGCGAGCGCAGGCGGAAGAAUAAGUCUGAUGUGAAAGCCCUCGGCUUAACCGAGGAAUUGCAUCGGAAACUGUUUUCUUGAGUGCAGAAGAGGAGAGUAGAACUCCAUGUGUAGCGGUGGAAUGCGUAGAUAUAUGGAAGAAUACCAGUGGCGAAGGCGGCUCUCUGGUCUGCAACUGACGCUGAGGCUCGAAGGCAUGAGUAGCGAACAGGAUUAGAUACCCUGGUAGUCCAUGCCGUAAACGAUGAGUGCUAAGUGUUGGGAGGCUUCCGCCUCUCAGUGCUGCAGCUAACGCAUUAAGCACUCCGCCUGGGGGAGUACGACCGCAAGGUUGAAAC